rnacentral:rRNA from 1 species
AUUGAACGCUGGCGGCAUGCCUUACACAUGCAAGUCGAACGGUAACGGGCCUUCGGGUGCUGACGAGUGGCGAACGGGUGAGUAAUACAUCGGAACGUGCCCGAUCGUGGGGGAUAACGAGGCGAAAGCUUUGCUAAUACCGCAUACGAUCUCCGGAUGAAAGCAGGGGACCGCAAGGCCUUGCGCGGACGGAGCGGCCGAUGGCAGAUUAGGUAGUUGGUGGGAUAAAAGCUUACCAAGCCGACGAUCUGUAGCUGGUCUGAGAGGAUGAUCAGCCACACUGGGACUGAGACACGGCCCAGACUCCUACGGGAGGCAGCAGUGGGGAAUAUUGGACAAUGGGCGCAAGCCUGAUCCAGCCAUGCCGCGUGCAGGAUGAAGGCCUUCGGGUUGUAAACUGCUUUUGUACGGAACGAAAAGCCUUCUUUUAAUACAGGAGGGUCAUGACGGUACCGAAAGAAUAAGCACCGGCUAACUACGUG